rnacentral:lncRNA from 1 species
CUAGUUCAUCAAGUUGGGAAGGAGUAGAGUGUUCCCAGUCAUUUGGUUAAAAUGAAAGACCUAGACAGGAAGCAUAUUAGUAAUAACAUCCUGCUUUGCUCAUGCCAUACAGGACUUUCCUUAAUGUGGCUGGUCAUGCUGGGCAAUCCUGGGCCAGCAUCUCCCAUGACUCACAGUUGAUACUAAAGUUCUUGAGAGGGACCUCGAGUGUCUUGAGUGUCUUUGUACCGCUUCUUCCAGCCUCCAUGUGAGCACUUGCCUGGUGUGAACUCUCCAUAAAAUAGUCUUUUAGGCAAACAAAUAUUUGGCAUUUGAACAAAUUGGGCAGCUCAUCAGAGUUGGGCUCUCUGCAGUAGUUUGAAUGUUUGGCCAUUCAGCUCAAGAGGACUUCAGUAUCCCAUACCUUAUUUUGUCAGGUAAUCUUCAGAAUGUUCCCAAGACAAUUCAAAUGGAAGUGACUGAAUUUCCUGGCCCGUUGCUGGUAGACUGUCCAGAUUUCAUAGGCAUGCAGCAAUGGAGUCAGCACAGUGGCUCUUUAGACCUUCAGUUUGGUAGGCAGUUUAAUACCUCUUGUUUACUUUCUUUCUUUCAGAACUUUCCAAAUGCUGAGCUAACGCUGGCAAUACAUGCACCAAUAUCAUCUAUCAUGUGGAUAUUUUUGGAAAGUAUACUGCCAAGGGAGAGAUAGCUGAUGAAAGUGCAGAAGAGUGCAGUCAGGUGGGAAAUUAUGAGAUGGCUGCCUUGGGCAUCCUUUUUAACUGAAAGAUCUGGGAGAAAUUCACCACUGUCCAUAUUCCGCUCUCUUAAAUCAGAGACUGGCCACAGCAGCAGGGGUUAUUGAAGAAGUAUGAAUUUCAGAGCUAAUGUGAUCUUCAGGAUUAUGACAUUCUGGGAGGCGUGAUAAAAAUAUUGAAGUUGAAUAGAAAUGAUGAUAGAAUACUUGAAUCUUAGAGUGUUUGAAACUUAGUAAGGACUUAAUAGAUUUUUCCAACUGUUUAUUAAUUUUUAUGUAUUCAUUCUAAUUCUGGAUUAUCUUUGGGUUCCACUGACAUAGUUUAAAAUCUAGUUUUGAUAAUUUUUUUCAUAAGGUCUUAAUUUUGGAUGCAUAGAUGAUACUAGGUUUAAAUCCCAGGGCAAUGAAUAAAAGAAUGAAUGGAGGAAUGAAUGGAGGAAUG